rnacentral:rRNA from 1 species
CACGGGGGGAGCAAGCGUUGUCCGGAAUCAUUGGGCGUAAAGCGCGUGUAGGCGGCCUUGUAAGUCCGUUCUGAAAGCCCGGGGCUCAACCCCGGGAGGCGGAUGGAUACUGCAAGGCUCGAGUACGGAAGAGGCGAGUGGAAUUCCCGGUGUAGCGGUGAAAUGCGCAGAUAUCAGGAGGAACACCGGUGGCGAAGGCGGGAUCCUGGGCCAGUACUGACGCUGAGGAGCGAAAGCGUGGGGAGCAAACAGG